GCGCGGGUGGUGAAAUUGGUAUACACGCAGUCUUGAGGAGGCUGUGCCUUCGGGCGUGCAGGUUCAAGUCCUGUCCCGCGCA
rnacentral:tRNA from 2 species